CCCCAGACUCCUACGGGAGGCAGCAGUGGGGAAUAUUGCACAAUGGGGGAAACCCUGAUGCAGCGACGCCGCGUGAGUGAAGAAGUAUUUCGGUAUGUAAAGCUCUAUCAGCAGGGAAGAAGUUGACGGUACCUGAGUAAGAAGCCCCGGCUAACUACGUGCCAGCAGCCGCGGUAAUACGUAGGGGGCAAGCGUUAUCCGGAUUUACUGGGUGUAAAGGGAGCGUAGACGGCAGUGCAAGUCUGAAGUGAAAGCCCCGGGCUUAACCCGGGAAUUGCUUUGGAAACUGUACGGCUGGAGUGCUGGAGAGGUAAGCGGAAUUCCUAGUGUAGCGGUGAAAUGCGUAGAUAUUAGGAGGAACACCAGUGGCGAAGGCGGCUUACUGGACAGUAACUGACGUUGAGGCUCGAAAGCGUGGGGAGCAAACAGGAUUAGAUACCCUCGUAA
rnacentral:rRNA from 1 species